CUUCCGUUUAUAUAAUCCUAUUCUGUCUUUCAUUAUCCGUGGAGUCAUAAAUUUUGCGUCAAAAGUUCAGGGCUCUCUCUGCCCGGCUCCGAUUCAGCUGACGCAUCCAGAGUCCAGACCAGACCGCAGUCCUAGUUCGCAGUCCUGUCGUCUAAGCAAGGUGGAAAGGCAAAGCCUUUGAAGCAACCCAAGUCCGACAAGAAAGAAUACGACGAGGUUGACUUGGCCAAUCUUCAGAAGAAGAAGGAAGAGGAAAAGGUAAUU